rnacentral:rRNA from 1 species
CCUACGGGAGGCUGCAGUGGGGGAUAUUGCACAAUGGGGGAAACCCUGAUGCAGCGACGCCGCGUGUGGGAAGACGGUCCUCUGGAUUGUAAACUACUUUCCCCAGGGACGAAAAUGACGGUACCUGGGGAGGAAGCUCCGGCUAACUACGUGCCAGCAGCCGCGGUAAUACGCAGGGAGCGAGCGUUGUCCGGAAUUACUGGGUGUAAAGGGAGCGUAGGCGGGGAUGCAAGUUGGGUGUCAAAACUACCGGCUCAACUGGUAGUCGCACUCAAAACUGCAGCUCGUGAGUGAAGUAGAGGCAGGCGGAAUUCCUAGUGUAGCGGUGAAAUGCGUAGAUAUUAGGAGGAACACCAGUGGCGAAGGCGGCCUGCUGGGCUUUUACUGACGCUGAGGCUCGAAAGUGUGGGGAGCAAACAGGAUUAGAUACCCGGGUAGAC